UUACAGUGACUUUGGAUACACAGAAGACCAUCAGUGAAAGUCAACUGGUUUUUCUUCUUUUACAGGACAAGGCCUGAGAUGUCAUAAGGACUCUAUAUGCCUCAGCAGUUUGGACUACACCACCAGAGUGCACAGCCAUUCCACAUUCAUUUCUCUUGCAUCUCCAGCACCAUGAAACUGAUAAACCCCAGCUGCUGAUCAAACCAAGGUCUGAGACAGCAGGAAGGGCAGGACACUGCAGGUGCUGGUGGAGGAGUUGGAGUUAGGCUCACUUUCCUGCCCCAUCUCCUAACUUGAAGCUUCUGAAAUACAGGUGAGGGUCAUUUAUCCAAAAACUAAUCAUCUAGUCAAUCUAGAUUGGAAAGAGUA
ensembl:lncRNA